CUAUAUUAGUUAAAAAAGUAGAUCACCGCCCAACUCUUGAUUAAGUGACAAAUGUCUCAUCGCAUCAUUGCAUAGACUGAUUUUACACACAGUCAAGGACAGAUUUUGAAAAAUAAGAUUAACAUGGAAGCUAAAAAGUCGGUGGUGUACUCUUCAAAAAGCCCCAGAACAUCCUCUGUUUUUCAUUCUAUGUUUCUCUCUGCUUUGAGGCUUCCAGAUUUUCUUAUCUCAACCUGUGACUGCUACAAAGUAUGGAGUAUAGACUUAAUAUUAGUGACAUAACUCCACAAACUAGUGAGUGGACCUGUAAGGUUCAGGUUAUUGAGAAAGCUAGAACAAGGCAGAGAAAGGAUGGGCGAACAAGAUUUCAAAUUGCGAUUGUCCAAGAUGAUACGGAAGAAUAAGUUGUUGUUGCUUUGUAUGGGGAUGACAUAGAAAAAUAUCAAAAUAAGUUCACUCCCUUCUGCACAUAUCUGAUAUCAACUGCAAAAGUUAGAGCGUCCCUUCUGCACAUAUCUGAUAUCAACUGCAAAAGUUAGAGCGUCUUUACCGUAUGGAAUUCCUGUUAAUAGAUUUGAAUGGGUUCUGGACAGAUUUACAGUUGUUGAGCGAAUUAAAGAAGACAACAUGGACGAUCCGCCAUUACCAGCUCCAACGAGAUUAAACAUAGUAUAUUUGGCGAAUCUGGACCAACAACCACAAAAUGCUGAGUUUGAUGCAAUCUUUUCAUGUGGAAGGUAAAAUGUCGCUGCUAGAUGAUGAGCAACGGUUUUAUGAGUUAAUGUGUUCAAAAUGCAAGCAAUUUGUUAGAACUUCCAUCAUAAAAGUUGUCGACAGUGUGAAUUGCGAUCAACAUGCAAUGUUAACACUCAGGUGCCGAAUUCAAGUUGAAAUUGCAGAUAGAAGUGGAUCGACAAUUGCAACAAUAUUAGGUGAAUCUGCAGAAAAUUAAGUGGAUUAUUCCUCAUUUAUAUAUCAAAAUUUAGAAGACUCUCCAGUAAUUCUUUGUUUUGCAGUAAUUCUUUGUUUCGCGAUAAGUAGAAGAAACAACACUAACUGAUCUGAACAAAUUGCGUGAUUCCGUUUAGUUCUUAUAUAAACUCAAUCUCUUAAUUAAAUUGCAAACUGAUUCAAUGUAAGCACAUCUCUUUUACUUUCA